rnacentral:rRNA from 1 species
CAGGUCACUCCUACGGGAGGCAGCAGUAGGGAAUUUUCCGCAAUGGACGAAAGUCUGACGGAGCAACGCCGCGUGAGGGAUGAAGGUUUUCGGAUCGUAAACCUCUGUCUUCGGGGACGAUAAUGACGGUACCCGAGGAGGAAGCCACGGCUAACUACGUGCCAGCAGCCGCGGUAAUACGUAGGUGGCAAGCGUUGUCCGGAAUUACUGGGCGUAAAGGGCGUGUAGGCGGCCUUUUAAGUCAGACGUGAAAUCUCCAGGCUUAACCUGGAAACUGCGUUUGAAACUGGAGGGCUUGAGGACCGGAGAGGGUAGUGGAAUUCCCAGUGUAGCGGUGAAAUGCGUAGAUAUUGGGAGGAACACCAGUGGCGAAGGCGACUGCCUGGACGGCACCUGACGCUGAGGCGCGAAAGCUAGGGGAGCAAACGGGAUUAGAUACCCCGGUAGUCCUAGCCGUAAACGAUGGGUACUAGGUGUGGGAGGUAUCGACCCCUUCCGUGCCGCAGUUAACACAAUAAGUACCCCGCCUGGGGAGUACGGCCGCAAGGUUGAAACUUAAAGGAAUUGACGGACUCCUACGGGAGGCAGCAGUGGGGAAUAUUGGACAAUGGGCGAAAGCCUGAUCCA